AGUCUUUCUUAAAAACAAGGAUAUAAACUCAAUCAUAGCAACGUAUCUGUUACAUUUAAUAGAACGAUUUCUUUAACGUGUUUCUAUCACAAUUUGCUUUAGUUAGAAGCAAAUUAAUCGUCAAAGUGUUGAUCGAUCGUUUGAUUUUGUGUGGAAAUAUUGGAAGUUACUAUCCACAGGAUGAAAUCUUUCCGGACAAGUUUUAUCUUAAUGAUAAUCUUGUAUUUUGGAUUGAUAGAAUUGGUUAUGAGCAAACCAACUGUGCCACCUCAAAAUGAUAAACUAACACAUUUAACUACAACAAAAACUACAACUACAACUUACCCCGAUCCACAUGGUAAUAACCACGCUAUCAUAAAUACAAAACCUAUAGGAUGUAAUACAGGAGAAAAAAGAGACGAAUAUGGCAUGUGUAGGACUACGGUAUCAAAA
rnacentral:lncRNA from 1 species